GGAAUCUUCCACAAUGGACGAAAGUCUGAUGGAGCAACGCCGCGUGAGUGAAGGAGGGUUUCGGCUCGUAAAACUCUGUUGUUAAAGAAGAACAUAUCUGAGAGUAACUGUUCAGGUAUUGACGGUAUUUAACCAGAAAGCCACGGCUAACUACGUGCUAG
rnacentral:rRNA from 1 species